GGGGGAACUUGCACAAUCGGUGGCUGACUAAAUACUUUUUUGCCCCACUGUAGUAACAUUUUAUUUUUUAAGUCUUUCUGUCAAAAUUAUUCAGUUUCACUAUAUAAAUUAUAUUCUUUUAUUGUACAUGAGUUCAUACCAGUAACAGUUCGCAGGAAUCACUGCUCUUCCUACAGUAUUGUUCAGAUUUGAAUGAAACCUAGUUGGGUCUUCAGUCAAACUGUGCUCAAGGUCAAGUUCACAUUUGUCACUGGGGUCAGUAACCUGUAAAUUGUGAUGGAUCUUGAACUGGAUGACCUACUAUGUCAUUGAUAUUCUGGUUAUUUUCUAUAAUGCAAGUUAUGAAUAAUUUCUUUUUUGCAGUUUCAUUUACAACACAGUAAUUUGUGUCUGUCUAUAAACAUGCUAGUUUUCUUCAUUUUUUCUUUAUUUUUUUAUUAAGUUGCUUGCUUAAUGCAUUUGUAUAUUAAAGAUCUUCCUCUGUUAUUAAAAGACUAGGAAUCUUAGAAACAGGACCCUUUUUUGGUUGAAGUUGAAGUAAAAUAUUUCAAAAUUGUUUUAUAUUUCAGCAACUUUUUCAGUUUUUCUUUCUUUGUGUUUUCUCUGGCUGUUUUUGUUUGUAUGUUUCUGAACCUGUGUUUAUGUGACGUGCAUGUGUGUGUUUUUAGGUGGUGGCAGUAACAGUCCAGGGCGUCCCAGAGGACGUGCAACCUCCCGUGGUAACAGCUGUAAGCCCCUCCUCCCUCCACGUGAACUGGUCUGAACCUACUUUUCAAAAUGGAAAAAUACAGCGGUACCACCUGAACCAGACUGGUGUUGGAACUAUAUUCACGCACAUCGAUGGACCCAGAAAUUUCACAGUGACUGGUUUGCAGCCAUACACAGAGUAUAGUUUUGUGCUUGUGGCCUGUACGUCUGUGGGAUGUGGAGCCAGCUUACCAUCCACAGGAUGCACCCUGCAAGCCAAGCCUGCUGGUAUACGCACACGCGUGUGUGCACACACACACACACACACACACACACACACACACACACACACACAAAUCCUCUAGUAUUUCAAAUGUAUUUUUCAAAUGUAUGUCUAAUUUACAACCCAAUGGUUGGAUAUUUUUUGUUGUUUGACACAGAACAAUAUCACAGCUUGUUAUAAUUUUAAUAAAUACUGAAAUGAAGUAUGUCUGACUUUUAGUAUUUUUGUUUUUACAGUGUACCUUGUCUCUUUUUGAUUUCUUCUUUACAUCUAUGCUCUUUUUUCUGCUCUGAUUUCUGCAUCUAAUUAGUUGUCCCCUGUGCUUCCUCACUGUGCAGUAUUUCGUAAACCCUUUAGCUUUUGGCUUUUUCAUUGUAUCAAGUGUGGACACUUUAUAUCGUUGAAGUUUGUUGUUGUUGUUUAUUUGAUUUUUUUUUUUUUUAUUUGAUUCUUGAUUCUUCUUGAAAUGCAUUGCACAUCUCUUCUCUUAGAUUUCCUGCUAUUUCUUUUCUAUUUAAAUAGGAUUUUUUUCUCUUUUCUGCACUUUUUAAGCUAUUGUUUGUUGUACAUUUGUCCAGUCUCCUUAUUUCUUUUAUUUGGAGCUACUAUUUCUUGUUUUUUGGGCUCACAUUUCCUUGCACUUAUGCUUGUGUCUCAUUCUUACGUAGUCUUUCAUCAUCUUAAAUAUACCAAUCUUGGUAGUUGGACUGAAUAUAUGGACAAAAUAUUUAAGCUGAUAAAAAACUAGAUUUUGAACCAUCAGUGUUGCUCAUUUUAAGUCGUGAAAUUAUAAUUUGAUCAUAUAUAUUGUGCAUAGCAUUUCAGUGCUUUACUUGUUAAACAAACAGUGCCCUUAGUUAACGAACAAUAAGCUUUAAUAAACAGCCUGGUUUCUCUACACAAAGUGAUGCUAUUUACUUUUUUGGAACAGAAGUAGGACUGCUGACUAAUUAUAGAUGCAAAUUAAUUAUUUAAGGAGGCUCUCAUUUGUUCUUCUUUUCUUUUUUUAUACUCCAGGUGUGUGGUCGAAGCGCAGACACCUAGUAAUAAACACAUCUGCAGUGGAGCUGUACUGGGAUGAGCCAUCCCAACCUAAUGGACACAUCUCCCAGUACAGGCUGAACAGAGACAGUCAAACUAUUUUUACCGGAGACCACCGUGACCGGAAUUUUACGGACACUGGACUCUUGCCAAAUCGCAGGUAAAGAGGAUGAACUCGCGCUCAUUUAUACAUGCAGGAAUAUAAAAACGUGUGUCCAUGUAGACGUCACACAUACAAAAACACUUGACAUGCAGCUUCACAAUUAAUCAUCACCGCGUUUGUG
ensembl:lncRNA